UACGGGGGGGGCAAGCGUUGUUCGGAAUUACUGGGCGUAAAGGGCUUGUAGGUGGCCAACUAAGUCAGACGUGAAAUCCCUCGGCUUAACCGGGGAACUGCGUCUGAUACUGGAUGGCUAGAGUGUGGGAGAGGGAUGCGGAAUUCCAGGUGUAGCGGUGAAAUGCGUAGAUAUCUGGAGGAACACCGGUGGCGAAGGCGGCGUUCUGGACUGCAACUGACACUGAGGAACGAAAGCCAGGGGAGCAAACGGG
rnacentral:rRNA from 1 species